ensembl:lncRNA
GGAUCGGGGCUUCCGGAAGCGAGAGGUCCCAGGCACAUGGGGUUCCUGAAGUAUGGGGUGUGGGAUCCCGAGGGUGUAGGGAUCGGGGUCCCCGGGGGUAUGAGGUCCUAGGGAUAUGAGUUCCCAGGAGUGCGGGGGUCUGAGGUCCCAAAGGUAUGGAGUCCAGGUACAUGGUGUCCUGAGGGUAUGGGACCCUGGGGAUAAGGGAUGCAGAGAGCACAGAGUCCCCGGAGACAUGGGAUCCUGAGUCUGUGGGACCCGGGGCGUACCAGAGCCUGGACACAUGGGUCAAGGGCACAUGGCGUCUGGGCCACAGCGGGGCUGUGCACAGGGACUGUAGGACACCCGGGCCCCUGGGCGUGGGACGCUGCAGGCGUGCAGUGCCCGGGUACAGGGAUGCCGGGACAGGCGGUGUCACACCCCCCUGCCCGCCCUGGCAGGGCCCAGCCUGGCCUAUGCCAGUUCUGGGCUUGCCCCCUGCCCGCCCCCGUGAGUGGCUCGGGCUGGGGCCUGGCACUGCCCUUCCGCCAGCGCAUGUGUGAGCACAUGUGCUUGUUGCUAAACUUGUGGCUCUCGAAUGUCUCCAGAGAGUGACAUUUGCCUGCAGCCAUUCCCUCUGAGAAGCACCUGUCAGGUUUGGGCUUCAGCAGAGCGAGGAGGUGGUCAUGGUGUGGGGUGAGCCCGGCACUGCCCGCAGCCCUGCACCAGGGGCUUCCCUUGCACACCUGCAGUCCCUUGGCCCUAAAAUGCAUGUGUACAGGGCUCUUGGCUGCCUGCAGCACCAGGGAUGGGAAGGCAGCAAGGGAAGCUGCGUGGGGCUGCCUGGUAAGGAGGAGUGCACAUCUUCUUCCUGCAUGGUGGUGAGUGAGGGCUGUUCACCGUGGAUGGCUUUUGCACAUCAGAUGCAGAGAGGAGAGCACCUCCCUCCUAUACCCACCUGGGUCUGUAACACCUAUCAUGUACAUGCCUUUUGUGUGUCUCUUUGCCCAUCUCCAUUUUUCAGGGGAGCAUUUUGGCAAGUGGCUGUCCUUUCAUUUCAGAAUAUCAAAUCACUUUGGAAAAGAUACAGAAGUUUUCCUGGGAAGUGCAAAAAUAUUUUCAUUUGAGAAACAAGACAGCUGAUUAGAGAGUCAGCGGUAAUCUGGGUUGGGGCAAUGCUCCAGGCUCCCUUGCUGGAACCAUCAGUCAACAUCACCCUGUCCAGGGGAGGAGUCGUGGCCUUGAACCUCGCCCUGUUCUCAUGACUCACCAUUGCACUGUUUUGCUCAGCAUCCACCUCUUCUUCCUCCUGUCUUCAUUUGUAUUACAGUCAGUGUCUGCUUGCUUGACUUUGUGUGAAUCAUUCCACACUGAACCUGAGCUGCCCAUAACUUCAGCUGCUCUGCUUUCUCUGCUGUGUUACAGGGUCAGCUCCAUCCUGACCCAUGGCAUGAAAGAAAAAUCUGCUUUGGAAACAACAAAGUGAGCAAGACUUCUCUUGUUACUCUUGUUUCCUGGAUGCUGCUGAGCAAAUUCCAAAACCCUGCAUCCCAAAUGAUUCUUGGUGGAGUAGGCUGCCCAGAGAGGUUGAGGAGUCUUGAUCCCUGGAGAUAUUAAAAAGCUGCCUGGAUGCAAUCCAGGGUAAUGUGCUCCUGGGGACUCUGCAUGAGCAGGGGUGUUGGAUUAGAUGGCCUGUAGCAGUCCCUUCCAACCUUACCCAUUUUUGAUUUUUGGGAGCCCAAGUGAAGCUCUGAUACAUUUUGUUUUGGAACAGGAAUCUCUCCACUGGCUCUGUAGGAAGUACACAAUGUGAGGGUUGACUGCUGUCAGACAUCAGUCCCAGCUGAUGAGAGGCUGAACUGGUGUCAUGGAUUUGUUGAGGUUGGCCACCAGUGGGAUAAACCAAUUUUUAAGGCUUUGAAACUUAUUUUUUAUUCUGGUUCCUUGAUAAAGUGGUCUGGCAGAGUGAGGUGGGCAGCAAGGUGAUGAGCUCCUUCAGCUGCAGCUGCUUUGCAAGCCCUCAGGGAUGCUCACUAGCUGUGGUCAGUGUCCUCUUCACCUUGGCCGGGUUCACAGCCCACCUCUCAUUAAGCCUUGAUUUUGGCACCUGUAAUAAAAGAGCCACAUUUAGCCUUUUGGAAACUUGCAGAAACUCCCAGAGCUGCAGGAGAGAUUAAAUUUCAUCCAGUAUAUUACAGGGGGAAGCUGAAAAGUGUGCUUGGCCCUUAAAAGACUAAAAAGUACCUUUUGGGGAGCCUUUCUGUUUCGUAAGCAAGCAGUCAAGAGGGGUCAGAGAGCUCCUGGCGCCUUUGGACCAUUUUGGCCUUCAGCUUGAUGUUGGUUGUUAAAAAUAUUUUCCCAGAUGUAUUAAUACGACCAGACUGGAUUGCAUCUGAGCUGAACAUUGUGAGCCUGAGGCAGGACAUAAAUAUAGAAGCAAAACAGGCUGACAUAAGAGUCAUCUGUCCUCUUCUACACAAGAAGUGAAGGGGAAAGAGAGGGAACUUACUCUGUUGCAAUUUUUAGACACUUCCAGGAAUUAGCCUGAGCCUCAGAUAGUGCCUGCAUGGGGUCCU